ensembl:lncRNA
CUCAGCCACAGAAGCGAGAGCAGCUGCAUGCUAAGCGGAAGAGAAAACUAGGAGAAAACUUCGGAGUUUACCUGUGAAAAGGAAAAAAACAGUUGGAGCACUUACCCACUGGAGGUCCGGAGCCAAGUGACUGAACGAAGGAGAGAGUUACGUCGAGAGCUGCGGCAAGGCGUGUUCCGCCUUGAUAUACAGAGAGCAACGGUGAGAAAUGUGCCUUUUUAGCUGCUCUGGUGCUGUUUUCUUCUUGUUUUCGCGGGUAUUGAAAGAAGGCAGCGGUGAUAUUACGGUUAUGAGAGUGAACUGAAGUGAAUAAUGGUGCAAUACUUCUGGACAUAUGCACAUUGUGUUUUAUUUAUGCUGCUGUGUAUGUAAUUAAAGGGGAAGUGUUUUAUUUUCCUAAUGCCAAUUUAAAGGGAAAAGAGAGUAAUUUGGUAUGUUGUGAUGAAUGUCAAACAAUAUGUUAUUUUGUACUAUAUGAUUUAUUGAAAACAUUUAUGUUAUUUCAGCUGAGUUUAGAGUAACUAGAGGGUAAUAUUUGGUGCAGUUCUCUCACAUGAAUAGGCAUAUAGUGUAAGAGUAAUUUAAGCACACUUCUUUAAUACCUCUGUGUCUAACUCAACAUGUGUACUGUUAUGUUUUUUUGCACAUGGUUCUGAUAUGGUUAUGAUUAAUGAUAUUUUGAAUGUUAAUGGUUACUUACCAUAAGUAUUAUUGAAACACUGUUCAUAUGAACAGGUAAAUGUGUGAGCACUUUCAUGUUUAGUCCUCAUAAAUGAUCCACUUAAGACUGAAUGUUGUACAACUAAGACAGAGAUUUAAGAUUUGAAAAGAAAUGAAGAUUCAUGUCAGAAUUAGAUGUAAUGGUGUGCAUCUUUUGCCAUUUGAUUUCCCUGAUGAUGCAUCUGAGAAAAGACGGUGUUGGAUGUAAAUUGUGUGACCUGUCUACAGGUCAGGUUUUUUUGGAGGACUGAAGAGUCUGAGGUUCAGGACAAACUUCCUGCUGUAACAGAUGGCGAGCCAACCACCCUGAAGAAAGAUCAGCACCGAGAAGAUAUCCACGUACCCACUCAUUCACACACACAUUAUACAUUUACAUUACACUACAAAGACCUUUGGAAUCAGGUGAACUUGCAAUAAUCCUACAACAGGAAAACCUGCAACAACUCCUAUUUUACUUAAGGGCCCCAACGGACAUUUUUUUGUUUCAAGUGUGCACACUGGGUUUUUCUUAUUGUCUUACUGUUUGGGUUAUUAUUUUGCAUUCUGUACAAAUCAGACAAAUUGUUUUAUCCACUGUUAAAAAUUAUACGAGUGGCUACUCAACUAUUACCAAUGCGAUUGCCUCAUUAUUGUUGCACAGUACAGUGACUCCUCCCGAAUUUAGUGUCUUCUGAUGCUGGUCCAGGUAUUAUAAAUAGUCCAAGUAAUUAUUACACUGUAAUUCACUUUUAUAUCCCUAAAGUUGGUUACAAUACCUUCCAACUUCUUCAUCCUGAAGUCUCUUGAUGAGGGCGUCUGCGACAGGGGUUUCAGAAUCCACCUCCAACAGUGAGUCUUGUGUUUAGCAACAUGAAAUUUAUACGCCUUUACACAUUGCGUUUCGAGACCUGCUUUUAUUCUGAAGGAGAUGUGCACCAAUACACAGAAGUGAAGUAUUCUGUGAGUGCCGGGAAAUUGUUGGUUAUUGUUUGACGGUAAGUUCCGAAUACCUGUUCCGAAUACCUGUUCCAUGAAGAAGCCUGGAAUUAAUUCCUUAACAAUCUGUAUUUGGACAAAUUGUGAAAUUAUCAGGAAAAAAAAUAAUGGAAUCAUGUAAGGGCUUUUGUGGUGUCGAGAUCUCAAACAGCACAAUCUGAGGUUGGAAAGAGGCAAUACACACGGACAACUCUGGAGGCAGAUAUAUAUAUAUAUAUUUAUUUCAUACAAUAACAUUAAAUAAAAGUAAAAGUUAAAUACACAAACACACAAAGGUAAAUUAGCUCUGACUCCCUGACAUGCAUAAAUACAAAUGUUUAUAACGUUAAACAUACACAAAUAGAAAUGUUUAUAACGUUAAACAUGCAUAAAUAAAAAUGUUUAUAAUGUUAAACAUGCAUAAAUAUAAAUGUUUAUAACGUUAAACAAAUAAAACGUUAUAAAACAAACAGCCCUCUCCGUGCAGCCUCCGGCUCUGCAGGCACAUACUAUUGGCUUCCAUUACUGUAGCAGUGUUGCCAACUACUUUCUCGCUAAAUCUGGAGACUUUCCAAAGCCUCCUGGGGACUUUUUUUUUCUUUGCCAAAAGCCACUAGCAACAAAUCUAGCGAAUUUUUCUGGUUUUGGAGAGUCUGACAUAAGUGGCGGAUCUUCCGUGGGGGCACGUAGGGGUAGUGGCCCCCUCCUGUGUGCCCCCCCAAAAUUUUCGUUGGAAAUUUACAUUACUGAAGCUCCGAUUUCCGACGCUCUUGAACGCAACUUCGUUGUCCAACUGCAACUGAAUGCACCAAUGAUGUUAGUUUGAUCUUUUGAUUGUAUUUUGUUUGGAUCUGAAGAAGCUUCCUGAUGCUGGAGGAGAAGACGAGUAGCUUUGUACCUUUGCGGUAAGAAGACUAUGGCUGUUUCUCAAUACCACUAACUGUCCGUACUUGCUUUCUCAUGUACUCGUGAAACGUCAUCAUCGAGACUGCAUCGGACCAGACUAGUGUAUAUACAGUGUAUAUACAGUCUAUGGUGUGCAUAGAUAUGAAUAAGUAGAUAGGACACGCCCCUUUGAGCUGCGUGCUACGGCAAGGCUAAGCUAGUGGGGGCCAAGUUUCAGUGCAUUCCGUUGAUGUAGACGGCGUGGAAACGGAAACAAGUAUGCCGUCUCACUGUGCUGCAUACAAUUACACACUACGUCGUACGAUUGAGACAAGGAAACUUGGAAUGCCUUUUCAUACGUAAGCAUAGUUUUUUGGCUCUUUUUCAUUAUUAAAUCUUGUUGAGAGCUUCCAGUCUAUGAGAGCUAACUAGUUAGCCACUAGCAAAACACUAACGUGAGCUAGCAGCUUGACAACCAAAUACCAGACGAUUAAUUGUAGCUGUAGUAUAGUUGUACAAGCAGUAGUAGCAAUACUAAAAGUACAAGCAGCAGUAGUAGUAUAAAUAGCUUUUAGAGUCGUAGAAGUAGUAUCAGCAUUUGUAAUAGCAUUACAAGUUGUAGUAGC